rnacentral:rRNA from 1 species
GCACAACGCGAAGAACCUUACCUGGGCUUGACAUGCACUGUGUCAUCGGUGAAAGCCGGUUAGUGUAGCAAUACACGCUUUGCACAGGUGCUGCAUGGCCGUCGUCAGCUCGUGUCGUGAGAUGUUGGGUUAAGUCCCGCAACGAGCGCAACCCCUGUGAUUUGUUGCCACCGGAGCAAUCCGAGCACUCGAAUCAGACUGCCCACGAUCAACUGGGAGGAAGGUGGGGAGUGACGUCAAGUCAGUAUGGCCCUUACGCCCAGGGCUGCACACGUACUACAAUGCCCAGUACAAUGUGAACCGAGACCGCGAGGUGGAGGAAAUCGCUUAAAACUGGGCUCAGUUCAGAUUGCAGGCUGCAACUCGCCUGCAUGAAGUUGGAAUCGCUAGUAAUGGCGCAUCAGCUACGGCGCCGUGAAUACGUUCCCGGGGUCUUGUACACACCGGAGUCGGUGGGA